CCACCUCUGUUCAGUGUUUGUUCCCUCGGGCUGAAAUGUUCCUACUUUGCCAGCUACUCUAACUCUUCUCGUCCUUCAAAGUCCAACUUUAAUCCCAUCUUUGGGAAGCCUCGCAGUUAGGACUCCCGGUUACCUCUGAACUCCUGUACUUCGGGCUUGCCCUCCAAGGUAGCUCUGUAGGACAUCUGCCUCCCCCAUUGAACCAGAGACUCCUUAAUUAUAAAGGAGUAGGAGGAGUGAUGAAUAUUUGUAAUGCAAUUUGGAUUCAUAGGGGCCUCUGCAUACAUCAGACCCUUGUAGAGUCCCCUUGAGGUUGAUAACUUUCCAUUUUACAAAUGUGAAAACACAACAGUUAGACUAACUGGCCUCAGGUUACACAGGUGACAUGAUGGGGGGUGAGACUGGUGAGCAGGACCACAAGCUUAGGCACUUAGGAUGCACUGUGCCCCCUGCUGAGUGUGGGGCCUUGGCAUGCUCCUCUCUGUCUCCCCAAGGACCUGUAGCCAGCGGUAAAUAUUUGUGGAGUGGAACUGGGCAGGAGGUAGAUAAGAAAGGAGUUAGUGAGCUGAGAGCUCUAAUCCCACCCCAGGCCCAAAGGUCAAGGGGAGAACCUCCCUGCAAGCUGGACCUCCUCUGAGGCUCCCAACGAGAGGUCAAGGGGGGCGUCUUCACUGUGUCCUCUACGAUUUCAUUUCUUGAAGGGAUUGGGACAUAAACGAAUGCCUUAGACCGUAGGACUAAGAAAGAGCCAGUCAUGAGACUAUUGAUAAUUUAGAUUUCCUGAUUCCUUUAAAAAUUUAUAUGUACUAUUAAGAAUUAAUAACCUAUAUUUAUUCUAAUGAAGUGGAAAAUGAGUUUGUGAAAAACCCUUUCUGUAAAUUGAAAGCUUUCACUAAUUUUAUUAACAUAUGCAUUUUUUUCCUUAAUGAUGCUUUAAAAGUAUUUUCUCAUACCUUUCUGUCUCUUUAACUUUCCUUAUAAUUGUUUUACAAACUGUAAGGUAAGAAAUAACAAACAUCAUUAUUUAUAGAAAUUUAGAGAAAACUCAUAUGCUACAGAACAUAUGAACACGUGCUCCUAGGAGGUUGGAAAUGUCAGAGAGAACCAGAGGGCAGGAAACCACUGAGAGGUGGGGCCUGCAUUCUGCUGACCCAGCCCAGACGCUGGGUUCUGGGAGCUGGGAAUGGGCCAGCUGCUGGGGGUCAGGUCACUCAGGAGAGCAGGUGAAGCAGGGCGUUCCAGCACAGUGAUGUAGAACAGGGUGACCAUCUGUCCCAGGUUUAGCUUCAUGAAAGCCCUGUGUCCUGGGAAACUUCUCGGUCCCAAGUAAACGGGCUAUUGGCCACCCUAUUGAAGAGCCAUCCAAAACAAGGGUCAUAAAAGAAUGUUCAAACUAUGCAGGUUUUUAGUGGUCAUUGGUUUAUCAGUUAUCAUUAGCAGGUGUCCUCCCUUUGAGCAUUAGAAGGUUAAAAUUUGACCUUGUUUAGAGAAAAGACUCUUGCAGCAGUUCUAUCAAUACAUAUGGAAUGCUGCUCAUGAAAUUCAAUCCUUUUCCCUCUCCCACUCAUGGCUGUGUGUUGUUCGGAAAGUAUGCAUGAACUUAGAAGUAUGUGACACGUGCCCACGUUCAUAACCUUGGCGUUUAAAAUCCAAGGUUAACACUAUUUGCCUUAGAGUGAGGUCAAGCAAGCGCUAUGGAUCAUGGAAUCACACGCCAUGAGGACACUGGACAGGUGUUCGUGCAAGUCCUGGGGGUCUCACCCUGAGGAGGAGCCUCUGUCCCAGGGUCUGGAUUUGCUCCCAGAGAGGAACCCCCUCCUCAGGGGAGGCCAGAGGUUCUAUGGGGAUUAGCAGGCCUAGGACUUUCCUUUCCAUCUUAAGGGAAAAAAAAUAGUUGUCUUAUUUUUUCUUUUUUUUCAAAAAUAGAAACUAUAUAUAGACUCAGAACUGGAAACAGAAAAAGAGGAGUAGAGGAUUCCUCUGGUUCUUAGUCUUUAUCAAAGCAAAUUUCUCCCUUUCUGCUCUUCCAAGCAUCAACGUCUCUGAUAACAUUUUAACUUCUAAUAUUAAAAAAUGAAUAUUGUUGCUUUCUAUUCUUUAACAGUUAAAUGUUUUGUGUCCCUAGGCAAGUCUCUCAGGAAGAUGCAUAUGCUAUGAACUACUUAAUAACAUUUGAAAUGGCUGAAACAUGACUAUAUACAGGAAUAUAGUAAUACAGAUAUAUUACCUAGAGCCUACAUAGUUCCCAAACUCUGUAAUUUUUGUGUGUAGACAUAUCUAUACAUCUCUGUGUGUGUAUGUAUGAAGUUAUACAUGCACAUAACACAUAAGAAGCUGAAGAAUCACACGGAACAGUGAUCAGCUCUGGGGCAAAAGAGAGAUGAGUUCUGGGAGGAGGUUGGAGGAUAAGGACGGCCCCUCGAGCGCCCUUCCGCAGUGACCUUUUAGUCUGGCCAUGUUCUUCACCCCCUGCCCCCACGCUGCUACUCCUCCUCCCCAAGAAGGUAUUAGGUGCCAGAGAGGCCCAGACCUGAUGGUUUAAGGUAGGCCUUUUGGGCUACUCUGCGGAGGUCUGAAUCUUGGACCUGCCACUUUCUGCCUGUGUGACCAUGACCUAGGUCUUUAAUUGCUCAACGCCUCCGUUUCCUCAUCAUUUCCUUUAUAGGGUUAUGAGCCGUGAAGGAAUGAAGACACUUAGAACACUGCUUUUCACUUAGAAUGUGGCUGACUCAAACUCUCUGGAGCCUUCGUUCCAGCUGAAGUUCUUCUGAUGACUGUGAAUUAGAAUUGCUGGUCCCCACUGCCAGGCCCAGACCGCAAUUUAGUUGAGGGCAGGAAAACAUCUCAUCACUGGUAUGCUUUAGUGCUUAGAACCGUGUGCAUUUAACAUUAUUGGUGUGGAUGUAUCUAUCCCUUUAACACAGGUUAUUAAACCCUUAUUAAACCCAGACAGUGUGGCAGAUUCUGGGGCCUCACUCGUGAGGGCGGCAUGCACAAUUCCUGCAGUAGAACAGUUGGGACUGUGGAGUCUGGAGCUAGACUGCCUCCACCUGGCUCCACCAGUUCCCACUGUGUGAUCCUGGGCAAGUUACUUAACAUCCCUGUGACUUAUUUUCAUCAUUCGUCAACUGAGGACAACAAUGACCUCCAUGUCAUAGGACUGUGAGGAUUGUGUGAUAAAUCAUAUAAAUACAUGUGAAGAGAGGAAGUGUACUCACAGCAGGCGCCUGAUGUAUGCUAAGCACUAUGAAGAUGGUCUAUCAUUUCUUUAAGUUGGAAUCUAGGAAAUAGGUGGGGUAUUUCGUGGCUAGAAGAAGGAAGUUAUGCAGCACUGAAGAGACACAUGGAAAGGGAAGCAGAGGACCAGCAUCGCUCUACUUCGUUGGACACCUGGCUUGAUACAUUUCACGGUCAAAUUUACAAUGCUUGGGGAAUAGGCAUGUGAAUUAUGGGCCAGGAAGAAGUCUUGGGCUUUUAGAAAAAUGAAGACCCAGAAGUGGAGAAGUGUGCCCAGUGUUUUCUGCAGCAGGAAAUCUAGUGACAGUCACCUGGUGCAGGGAGUUAGAGAUGCUGGGGCCCGUCUCCCUCUGACACAUGUUUCCAACACACCUGACCUGGGAAGCAGCAGGCAUAACCGCUCUCCUAAAAGGUACAAGCAUGUACUAAAAUAAAAUAUAUUUUCAUCAAGUCUAAAUAUAGCUCCCUAUAAGCCGUACAUGCCGGAGAAAGCUAGCUUUAUAUACUGUAAUAAAAAUGUAUUUAAAGUGAAAUAAACCCUUUAAUUCAUGCUCAUCUUGAGACAUACAUACCAAAGUGUAAAUGUUUAAAAACAAGGCAAUAAAGACAUUUUUAUGGUUGAUAAACUACAAAUUUGUCUGGGGAAAAAAAAUCAUUCAAUGUUUGACAAAAGAGCUGUGAUAAGAGAUAAAGAACACAGUCUUCCCUGUCUAAAGAACCAGAGGGGGAAAUACAGCUUGUCCCUAGUCCCACAUUUUCAACUAUGUGUGCUAUGAUUACAGUUAUAAACAAUGGAUACUGUGUCAGUGAGGAGAAAAACAAACAAUAGGUCUUUUUCUGAAAGUAUCUGUAGGAAGAACAUACAAAGUAGUCAACAAGGGAACAGAAAUAAUCCUUGUAUUCUUUGUAAAAAUAAUACUUUAAGAUUCAUUUGCAAGAAUGUUGGUAUUCUUUUCCACUGUGCAUCUUAUUUUCCUUCAUUCACUAUAGAAUUUUUCCCAACUUGCACCUGGUUUGACCAGCAGUCAGCUGGCUUCUGAGGAUUCUCCCUUUGCAUUCCCUCCAACCCCCAGAGACUGUCUUUGACAGCUGCACAACUGUGCUUUCUUCAGUUAUAAAUGCAAGCUUGUGACACCCUUUGCUUGAUUCAGUUAAAAACCGAGUUAAAUGAAAUCAAUUCAACAAAUACUCCCUCAGUGCUUACUGCGCUGAAGGCACUGUUGGUUUGGGAGGGUACAGACGGAGAGGAGUGAGACAUAGUCUUCAAGGAGCUUACAGUCUACUUUGGGGUACAAGACGAGCCCAACAGAAGCAAGGCAGAAUGUAUACUUCAUAGGGGAGACAAUGAUGAAGUGUCACAUUAGUUUAGAGGAAAAGGGCUGGAUGGGAAUGCCGCCGGAUAAGAGAAGGGCUCACCUAAGAACAGCCUCCAAGCACCGGGGCUUCUGUGGUUGGAGGCGGGAGCGGGAAGAAGGUGGUCUUCUGUCGACGGACAGAGUGAGAGCAGAGUGUGGAGUGGGAGUCACAGAGGGGUCGUCCAGCAUGACUGGAGCCCAGAGUGCCCCUCUGGGGGGCGAAGGAUAGGAGAGAGGGUGGCCGUAGAGGCCUCAUAGCUGACAGACAGACGCAGCAUCUGGAGCUGAGAGGAACCUUCUAAAGGACAUGAGUGAGGAGCAGUGACUUCCCACACCUCUUUGUGCCUGCGAUGGCACAGAAGGGGGCCGAGGGCAGGGCAUGGGACAGAGUGGGGACAUGGCUGUCCAGAUGGGGAGACACAGGGACCCGAGCCAGGGCUGAGAAAGGACAUGGGGGGGGCACCUGGCCAAGGAGGAAGAGGUAGAACAGGACAUGGGGCUGAGAAAGGGACUUGACGAGAACCCUUACACACUGGCCCAAUUCUCGGUCCCAGCUCUGACACAGAUUUUGCUGAGGUUCUAAAACUGAGGGGUGAGUUUGUCCUCAUUAACUUUUAUUCUUGUUAAUACUUUUAACCUUUGAAGUCUAAUCAGAAAAAAGCAGAAAAUAGAUCAUUUUACCUCCUCUAAGAAACUAAAUUCAGAUUUCAUAAGGAAGCACAUUUUUUCAGAGUCCCUUGUGUUGCUCUGCGGGGCCUUUAGAUAAUUUCCAGACACACAGUUAACCUUCACAAUUACUUCAGUGCAUUGGGCUCUUUGCUUAAGAGCCCAAGUGUCCUCCCCUGGGGCCUGUCUGAACACUUGAGUUUAUGCAACUCUUUACAUCAGUUUGUUCCUUAAUCUGUAUUUUAGUUUUAGGAACCUCAUGUUGCUGGCUGGGUCCCACUUUCACGACUGGGCUCUGAAGAAUAAACACCUGUGCAGAGAUUGGGACUUCGGGUUUAGUCAAAGAAUGUUCAUAUCUUCAUUUGAAAUUCUAUUUAUAUUUUAUUUAGACAAGUGUUUUGGCUCCUAAUAGGCUCCUAAUGAGUUGCUGCUGGUAAGGUUUACAGAUUAGAAACUUUCUGUUAGGAUGGCAAUGGGUGGUUUUUCAUUUGCCAACUAUUGAGAAGAGAAAACUAAUUUAAUGCAGUCUAAACACAGUUGCAUUAUUAAGACCUGCAUUAGAAACCUACCUUCUUCUAUUGUUGAUUGACCCUGUCUACUUAGAGGAAUCUUUCUUAUUUUUGGAUUCUGUUAUGUCUACUUUAUAUCAAUGAACUGUACUGCCUUUGUAGCGCUACCAGAUUGAACUUACAAAAAUAAGCGACAGGCCACCUGGGAGUCUGACUGUGUAAGCAUUAACCAAGCACGUCCUGGGGACCAGUGCACCAGCAUUUAUGUAAACCGGGUGUGAAUGCAAGCCCUUGUUAGUCGUGGGCUCUGUGCGCAGGGCCCCAGGAACGGCUGACUUUCUUUCGAUGCCAAUGGCUUGACGGCUGCAUUUAAACACACUUUCACAAAACUCAUCUAUAUCUUUUCCCAAAGAAACCAAGAUGGAGUUAGCUCGUUGCGGGGCUAGGAUGGAAAACUUCCUAGCAGCAAAUGAAAUGGAAUAGCUGCUGUUUCCUGGAAAAAGAACCCAGGAAGGACUAGCAGUCUGUGAACUCAAAGUGUUGACUGAAGUACUUGGCUACAAUAUAUAGCAGGCAAGGACAUCCAGUCUUUAAAGGUAUCAGAUAAUAAAUGGCAGGGAAAAAAACAUCCAGUUCACUUGUUAUUCUCCAAUAUAUUAUGUAACAAACGCCUAAGCAGCGAGAGACACAGUCUCUUUUUUGCCAUUGGUCUAUGAUGGAUUCUUAAAACACCGUGUUAAAAGCUAAAUGUUCCCAUGUAGAAUGGCAUUGCCUGAAACCGUAAGUCCUCACUACAGCUAUUGUGCAUUUGUGAGCAAACUGCUCAUCAGUUCAUCUCGAGUUGCCUCCUCUUCAACAAAAUCAUGUUAGACAUAGAACUUAGUGGUACAGAUGAUGCUUUCUUUGAUCACACAAAAGGGCUUUAUACAAGAAUUGUAAAUCUCCACUUCAAUUUGUUUUGGCAAAAUGUUUUCUGUAGUGUCAUUCCAUUUCACUGUCUUUGACAUUUUUUUACAAUUAUCCUCUCCUAUCUCGUUAGACUAAAAGGGGAUGGUCUCUACUGUUUCAAAGGAAAGUGUGUUGGUUGCUUACAGGAUGAAUAAAAAUGUAAGAGAUGCUUUUCAAGUUCUAGCAUACAUUCCUCAAUUGGUCUUAGUAAAUAUGGACAAUGAAUAGCAUUUGAAAGAUCUUAAGCUUCAUGCUUGCUUCACAAAAAGGAAUUCUUUCCUCACUACUGAAGGGUAUCUGGAUGGACAAUGACAACUGUUUCCUGGACCUCAGACACAACACAGGAGCAACAUACAAAGCUAGACAUGAACUGCAGUGCAAUUGCAACGAUUGAGGGAACAAGACAAAGCAUACGAAGGGCUACUUAAAGAAAAUAGGGAGGCUGCCUUUUAGAACCAUAGAAUCAAAGACUCUUCACAUUUCCAACCAGAUAGGACCUCUGAGCUCACAGGCCCAUCCUGUGGUGUGGAAGCCCUGUUUCCCAAGGGAGGGGGCUUUCAGAUCUAAGGAUUAGUCCCUCGACUCUUACAAGGGGUGGGUGGGGGGGAACACUCAAAAACGGCAUCUAAUUAGAGUUUUAUCAAAGUUGCUUCCAAGAGAGUCCAUUAGAUGUUCCACUGCAGCUUUAGGGGGUUAAAUACAUAUUCCUUGAAGCAGUUAUUAACUAAUCAUGUUGAUCAGGCAUAGGUUUCUGGCUUUAGCUGUCAUCAAAACAAUUUCCACAACAGCACAUCAGUUCAACCUUGAGUAAACACAUGGUUAAUGCCUACGACGUACAAGCCAAAGGAGACAGUCACUUGGGAGCGCUUUUUCCCCAUGAAGAACGGCUGAUUUAGGGCCCAUCUCCUGAUGGCACAGAGCAAGCAGAACCGGGCUUGGAGACCCGACUUGCGACAGGUCACACAAUUCCAUUAGGAAAAGAUCUUCGUAUAAAUGCGCACAAGCCCAAGCUGGCUGAAAAGUGACAAUUGGAAUUUUUGUCGUCACCAAGGAGUAGCAGCAUGAGAUUUUGUGUUUAGAAAGGCAGUUCCGCGGGAGAGUGAGGGCGCGUUUACGAAGGAGAGGCGCGUGCAAGCUCGGCUAAGAGACUUUUAACAGUCCAGGAAAAAGAGGGAAAGCCGGAGGACCUGCUCCGCAGCCUGGGGGAGAUGUGGCAGGUCUGAACUC